ACGGGAGGCAUCAGUGAGGGAUAUUGGUCAAUGGGCGCAAGCCUGAACCAGCCAAGUAGCGUGAGGGAUGACUGCCCUACGGGUUGUAAACCUCUUUUGUUUGGGAAUAAAGGAGCCUACGCGUAGGCUUUUGCAUGUACCUUUCGAAUAAGCAUCGGCUAAUUCCGUGCCAGCAGCCGCGGUAAUACGGAAGAUGCGAGCGUUAUCCGGAUUUAUUGGGUUUAAAGGGAGCGUAGGCGGUCCUUUAAGUCAGCGGUCAAAUGUCAGCGCCCAACGCUGGCCUGCCGUUGAUACCGGAGGACUUGAAUACACACAAGGAAGGUGGAAUUCGUCGUGUAGCGGUGAAAUGCUUAGAUAUGACGAAGAACUCCGAUUGCGAAGGCAGCCUUCUGGAGUGCGAUUGACGCUGAGGCUCGAAAGCGCGGGUAUCAAACAGGAUUAGAUACCCUGGUA
rnacentral:rRNA from 1 species